GAAAUGCGAUAAGUAAUGUGAAUUGCAGAAUUCAGUGAAUCAUCGAAUCUUUGAACGCACCUUGCGCCCUUUGGUAUUCCGAAGGGCAUGCCUGUUUGAGUGUCAUAUAAACCUCACCUCUACUGUUUUUCAUUAGACAUGUGGACCGGUGCUUUGGGCGUCUGCCGUUUACUCUGGCUCGCCUUAAAUGUCUAAGUGGAAUGCGUAAUAAGUUCUUUCGCAACCCUCCACUCUAAUCCAACACAUUUAUAUUCUGACCUCAAAUCAGGUAGGACUACCCGCUGAACUUAA
rnacentral:misc_RNA from 1 species